UCCUUCUUUUUCCCUCUUUCCUCUUCCUUCCUUUUCUUCCCUCUUUCUCCUUCUUCUUUUCAAUACAUAUUUUAAAUCCCCGGGCUUAACCUGGGAACUGCAUUUGUGACUGCAUGGCUGGAGUGCGGCAGAGGGGGAUGGAAUUCCGCGUGUAGCAGUGAAAUGCGUAGAUAUGCGGAGGAACACCGAUGGCGAAGGCAAUCCCCUGGGCCUGCACUGACGCUCAUGCACGAAAGCGUGGGGAGCAAACAGG
rnacentral:rRNA from 1 species